rnacentral:tRNA from 1 species
UGUUCUGUGGCUUAGUUGGUUAAAGCACCAGUCUAGCCAAAUCGGAGUCUUGGGUUCAACUCUCACCAGAACGC